CGGGGGGGGCAAGCGUUGUUCGGAAUUACUGGGCGUAAAGGGCUCGUAGGCGGCCGACUAAGUCGGACGUGAAAUCCCCAGGCUCAACCUGGGAACUGCGUCCGAUACUGGAUGGCUUGAAUCCGGGAGAGGGAUGCAGAAUUCCAGGUGUAGCGGUGAAAUGCGUAGAUAUCUGGAGGAAUACCGGUGGCGAAGGCGGCAUCCUGGACCGGCAUUGACGCUGAGGAGCGAAAGCCAGGGGAGCAAACGGGAUUAGAUACCCCGGUAGUCCUGGCCCUAAACGAUGAAUGCUUGGUGUAACGGGUAUCGAUCCCUGUUGUGCCGAAGCUAACGCAUUAAGCAUUCCGCCUGGGGAGUACGGUCGCAAGGCUG
rnacentral:rRNA from 1 species